rnacentral:rRNA from 1 species
UGGGGAAUAUUGGACAAUGGGCGCAAGCCUGAUCCAGCAAUGCCGCGUGGAUGAAGAAGGUUUUCGGAUUGUAAAGUCCUUUCGGCGGGGACGAUGAUGACGGUACCCGCAGAAGAAGCCCCGGCUAACUUCGUGCCAGCAGCCGCGGUAAUACGAAGGGGGCUAGCGUUGCUCGGAAUGACUGGGCGUAAAGGGCGCGUAGGCGGAAUGCUUUGUCGGGCGUGAAAUUCCAGGGCUUAACCUUGGGACUGCGUUCGAGACGGGUAUUCUAGAGUGGAGAAGAGGGUCGUGGAAUUCCCAGUGUAGAGGUGAAAUUCGUAGAUAUUGGGAAGAACACCGGUGGCGAAGGCGGCGACCUGGUCUUUUACUGACGCUGAGGCGCGAAAGCGUGGGGAGCAAACA